UGUAAAUAAAUAGUAAAGUUUUACAAAAUUUAUUUUUUGCAAAGCCCUCCUUCCUUUCUGGCUUUUGGCCGCUCCUUUUCCUUGUAGUCUCAGCUAACAUACACGAAGCAUUGCAACUCCAGGAGAGGAGCGUUCUCUGUUUGUCUUCAUUCCUUGCUCACGCACAAAGCAUGACUGCGGCCAACGCCACACACACAUGCCCUCUUUCUCCUUUUAAUCCAUGGAGUCUCCAUCCGAACCCUAGCCCACAACCUUCUCCUCCCUCAUGCCGCCAGCCCCUCCCGGCUCAUCCUAUCGUUCUUCUUUUCUUCACUAACUCCGGACCACCACCGCAGCACCCCGUCGCGCCACCGUCUCCGGCUGCCCCGCGCCAAGCCGAAGCCACCAGGAGCUCGGCCUCGUCCUCCUCUUCAACCUGGUGGAAGGAAUCGAUCCGGACCUCGCUAAAUCGUCGGCAAAUUCGCCGUUUCUUCUCCGACUCCGGCGACAAAAUCGUUGGUCCCGGCCGCCUCCAACCGCCUCCGGCCCAGCCGAGGUGUUCAUCUUACUCCUGGUGAGACGGCACUCCUAUUCCACCUCUUCCCUGUCAUUUUUUCUCUUUGUUCGGCGUCGCCAAAAAUCUGACGAAACUGUGGUUCGUGUAUGUUCGAGCGUAUCUCCGCCAUGGUCGACGGCGUACCUGCGUGCCGCUCGUGCUCGUACCUGGCAGAUUCCAUCCCGGCCUACCUCGUCCUCCGCCACAGCCUCCCGCAUUUGCUUCUUCCCGGAUAGGAUCACGAAGUGGUGUUGUGAGACACGACGAGUUCUCCGACAAGUUCUUCUGCAGCUUUUUCACAGGCGAGCCCACCCCUUCACCUAUUUUACUUUUACAUGCUCUUUUGAUCUAUUGCUAUCCUUAUGUGCGAUUCUGUUGUGUCACGUGUCCUAUCCACCUGUUACCUAUAUGUCCGAGAUACACCUCCUCGCCCUACCUAUUGUUUGUUGUUUGCCAGCUUUGCGAGUCGUAGGCGUGUUUAGGCUCUGUUGUUUAUCUCGAUCUGUUAUCGGGAUAUGUUGGGUUGUUGGGAGGUUUUCACAUGAUAUAUCAUUUGUUGGAGAUAAUCACACUUUACUUUACUGUUAACAACUAAAAUUAUAAGCAGAGGCAUCUGUGAGCCCCUUUGCGAAAGCAUCGGAACUUUGACUUGCUAAUGUCCCCUAGGACCCGAGUUCUUGUUAUCUGUUCCGAGAUUGAGCGCUCUACCCGUACGUGGGGGAAUGGGACCCCCAUCACCCACUACCUUUCCUCGAGUCUGUUUAUUGGGAGCCACAACCUUGGUUUUAUUUGCCCAUAUGCACGAUGCACGAUUUACUUCCUGUUGCCUUCGGGUGUUUAUUUCGUCUUUGUACUCAUAACGCGGGACUCCUUAUCCUUGGCCGGUCGUUAGUGCCCGCCUUGGAAGCCGUCGCAAACCUCUGGGUCCGUAUCGGAGUACGGCCGAACUUCGUCACGGGUAGCUUAGUUGGGUGGCUCCCAUUAAACUUUCUCUUGCAUUGGGAACGGUCUUGUUGUGAGACUCCACCUGUAGUAAGUGGGUUCGAGCAUGCGUAUGGUUACAUUUGGGCAACCCCUGCAGGGUGUACAUCUUAUCGAUAAGCCGUGUCCGCGGUUAUGGACGACUUGGAAUUGUAUAGCUUGAUCAUAGAACAACUUACACCUUAUUUCCUGUUGCUAAUAAUUUGAUAAUAAAACUUUUUCAAAAAGUGUGUGUGCCUUUGCCAGUACCUCUUUGCGAAGGGGGAUCGCAUCGGCUGUGUUAUGUUUGCAGAAUAUAGAACUGUUACCUUGUGCGCUCUCUUAUCUUCUCUGUGUAGACGGAUGUUGUAGCGAGUCUCUAUUGGAUAGUAGCUUUGCUGCCGCUAAACUCCACAUAUAGCCGGGUGAAGUUUAUACCGCCCACCAGCGAGCAUAGCUGGUCUUGUCUCGCAAGUACGUGCCAAUGGUACUUACCCUCGCCUUUCUUUCUUUUUGUCUCCUCCCCCUUUUGUCGGCAACCGAUGGCCCGACUUUGACAGGUACGAGAUGACGACGUUAGCAAGGUUACCCUUCCGGCUUGGCACAGGCGGGGUUAUGGACGCCAUCUGGUUAUCUUCAGGACUCUUAGUCCAAUUUGUAUCUUGUCCGUACUCGGACGUAUUCGAUCUUCUGUAUGAUUUGGAUCUUUGUAUGUAUCUAUUUGUAUCUUGACUCGUUGGAGUCGUUGUUGUAAUAUAUGUUUCUUGUGGGCUCUAUUGUAAUCCUGUUGUAAUGUUA